AAACAAAGGAGGAAUAAAUGGAAUGUCCUUUAGUUAUACUAGGAAUAAAGAUUAUUAGGCUCGCCACUGUAGUCUAUAAAGGCUCGCCACUGUAGUCUAUAAAGGACCAUGAUGUCUUAAAUGAUUGCAUAAGGUGGUUAGGUUUAAUUAUUAACAAUGAAGGACUGGAGAAGGUUGUAAUGUAAUGGUUAUUAGCGGGUUAGUUGACACAGAAGUGCCACAAAAAUCUUACGUGAUACUAAAAUCCCUAUAAUAACAUAAAAAAGGUCAGUUUUACAAAACUCCUAAUAGUCUUAUGUUUUACUGCACUAAACCUACAAAAUGUUGAGCUGUUGAAUAAAAAUAUACAUAAGAUGAACAUAGUACAAACGAUGAUGCUAAGAUGGAUGCGUGACAAUACUAGAAAGGACAUGAUAAAAUAUGAGAAUAUGUGCCAAGUGAAGGUAGCAACAAUGAAAAACAAACUAAGAGAAAGAAGCUCAACGUAAUGGCGUGUCUUACGUUUCACCUAAAGAAGCUUCCUUGAUACAAUUCUCAAUAAAACAAGCUUCAAUUCACAAGAGUGAUACAGUCUCAAUAAAACACAUUAGAAGAGGGAGUGGUAAACAAUUUGAACAGUCACUAAACUUCUAGUCACAUUUCAAUUUAGUCACUCAUCUUUAAUCUGGGAUGACCAACCUCAAACCAAAACAUGAAGUUUGAUGACCAUUUUGAGGGGAAAAAAGGUUGGGGUGACCAAAUAGUAAGCAGUCCCAAAUUCAAUGACUCAUUUGUGUUUUUGAUAUUGGUUCUAUUUAUACAACUAUUUUUUUAUUUACUCAAAUAAAAGAAACUUUUUCAUAAAUCAAGAAACAUUUGGUUAUGAAAGUGGCGGUAAAGAGACUGUCAUGGAGGCAAAACGAAUACAACAAACAGUGUACCUCCAGCUGCUCGUGCAGUCGUUUUUGAACCUCCAUCUGCAGCUUGAGCGCUUCAGUGAUUUGCAUUCCACUGCAAGCCAAAAAGAAAUAAGCAGUUAAUCAAAGAAAUAAACCAUUAUAAACAAUGUAUUAAACACACGUAGUCAAAAUAGAAAAUGGGAUAUACGUAGAAGGCCAUUCCUCCUAUCAAGGGAUUUGACAAAUAAUCACAUCCUUUAACUUGAGCUAAUCUGAUCGUCUAGAUCUAUUUCAUUGAAACCAUUUAAAAUCCCAAUACUCAAAUCCAAUCACACCAAAUCCCUAUAAGUCGUAUCCAAUUUAAUUUGUGGACAUUAAAUUAAGAGAUAAAAUGAAAGCCAAUUGCUAUCCGGCUCC
rnacentral:lncRNA from 1 species